rnacentral:rRNA from 1 species
CGGGUGAGUAACACGUGGGAACGUGCCCUUUGGUUCGAACAACUCAGGGAAACUUGAGCUAAUACCGAAUGUGCCCCCAUCCUUAAACAAGAUGGGUGGGAAAGAUUUAUCGCCAUUGGAGCGGCCCGCGUCUGAUUAGCUAGUUGGUGGGGUAAAGGCUCACCAAGGCGACGAUCAGUAGCUGGUCUGAGAGGAUGAUCAGCCACACUGGGACUGAGACACGGCCCAG